rnacentral:ncRNA from 19 species
GCAACUUGCAGUUGUUUUUAAUAAAAUUGGUUCCUUAGGUUAUUCACCACCCAUCUUGGGUGGUGUUUUUUUUUUAGCAUGU